GGCGAUCAGAUACCGCCCUAGUUCUAACCGUAAACGAUGACAACCAGCGAUUAGUCGGUGUUAAUAUACGACCCGACUAGCAGCUUCCGGGAAACCAAAGUUUUUCGUUUCCGGGGGAAGUAUGGUUGCAAAGCUGAAACUUAAAGGAAUUGACGGAAGGGCACCACCAGGAGUGGAGCCUGCGGCUUAAUUUGACUCAACACGGGAAAACUCACCCGGCCCGGACACCGUAAGGAUUGACAGACUGAGAGCUCUUUCUUAAUUCGGUGGGUGGUGGUGCAUGGCCGUUCUUAGUUGGUGGAGCGAUUUGUCUGGUUAAUUCCGAUAACGAACGAGACUCUGGCCUAUUAAAUAGUCGGUAUAUCCGGAAAAGUUUACCGUACUUCUUAGAGGGACAAACGGCGUCUAGCCGCGUGAAAUAGAGCAAUAACAGGUCUGUGAUGCCCUUAGAUGUCCGGGGCUGCACGCGCGCUACACUGAAAGAAUCAGUAUGCGCUUUAACCUAGUCCGGAAGGAUUGGGUAACCCGAGCAAAUUCUUUCGUGCUUGGGAUAGGGAAUUGCAAUUAUUUCCCUUAAACGAGGAAUUCCCAGUAAAUGCGGGUCAUAAGCUCGCGUUGAUUACGUCCCUGCCC
rnacentral:rRNA from 1 species